rnacentral:rRNA from 1 species
AUUGAACGCUGGCGGCAUGCCUUACACAUGCAAGUCGAACGGCAGCACGGACUUCGGUCUGGUGGCGAGUGGUGAACGGGUGAGUAAUGUAUCGGAACGUGCCUAGUAGUGGGGGAUAACUAGUCGAAAGAUUAGCUAAUACCGCAUACGACCUACGGGUGAAAGUGGGGGAUCGCAAGACCUCAUGCUAUUAGAGCGGCCGAUAGCAGAUUAGGUAGUUGGUGGGAUAAAAGCUUACCAAGCCGACGAUCUGUAGCUGGUCUGAGAGGACGAUCAGCCAGAGUGGGCCUGAGACACGUCCCAGACUCCUACGGGAGGAAGCAGUGGGGAAUUUUGGACAAUGGGCGCAAGCCUGAUCCAGCAAUGCCGCGUGCAGGAUGAAGGCCUUCGGGUUGUAAACUGCUUUUGUACGGAACGAAAAGCCCUGGGUUAAUACCCUGGGGUCAUGACGGUACCGUAAGAAUAAGCACCGGCUAACUACGUGCCAGCAGCCGCCGUAA